UGCGUAGGUGGUUUCUUAAGUCAGAGGUGAAAGGCUACGGCUCAACCGUAGUAAGCCUUUGAAACUGGGAAACUUGAGUGCAGGAGAGGAGAGUGGAAUUCCUAGUGUAGCGGUGAAAUGCGUAGAUAUUAGGAGGAACGCCAGUUGCGAAGGCGGCUCUCUGGACUGUAACUGACACUGAGGCACGAAAGCGUGGGGAGCAAACA
rnacentral:rRNA from 1 species